UUAAGCGACUAAGCGUACACGGUGGAUGCCCUGGCAGUCAGAGGCGAUGAAGGACGUGCUAAUCUGCGAUAAGCGUCGGUAAGGUGAUAUGAACCGUUAUAACCGGCGAUUUCCGAAUGGGGAAACCCAGUGUGUUUCGACACACUAUCAUUAACUGAAUCCAUAGGUUAAUGAGGCGAACCGGGGGAACUGAAACAUCUAAGUACCCCGAGGAAAAGAAAUCAACCGAGAUUCCCCAAGUAGCGGCGAGCGAACGGGGAGCAGCCCAGAGCCUGAAUCAGUGUGUGUGUUAGUGGAAGCGUCUGGAAAGGCGCGCGAUACAGGGUGACAGCCCCGUACACAAAAAUGCACAUAUUGUGAGCUCGAUGAGUAGGGCGGGACACGUGGUAUCCUGUCUGAAUAUGGGGGGACCAUCCUCCAAGGCUAAAUACUCCUGACUGACCGAUAGUGAACCAGUACCGUGAGGGAAAGGCGAAAAGAACCCCGGCGAGGGGAGUGAAAAAGAACCUGAAACCGUGUACGUACAAGCAGUGGGAGCACGCUUAGGCGUGUGACUGCGUACCUUUUGUAUAAUGGGUCAGCGACUUAUAUUCUGUAGCAAGGUUAACCGAAUAGGGGAGCCGAAGGGAAACCGAGUCUUAACUGGGCGUUAAGUUGCAGGGUAUAGACCCGAAACCCGGUGAUCUAGCCAUGGGCAGGUUGAAGGUUGGGUAACACUAACUGGAGGACCGAACCGACUAAUGUUGAAAAAUUAGCGGAUGACUUGUGGCUGGGGGUGAAAGGCCAAUCAAACCGGGAGAUAGCUGGUUCUCCCCGAAAGCUAUUUAGGUAGCGCCUCGUGAAUUCAUCUCCGGGGGUAGAGCACUGUUUCGGCAAGGGGGUCAUCCCGACUUACCAACCCGAUGCAAACUGCGAAUACCGGAGAAUGUUAUCACGGGAGACACACGGCGGGUGCUAACGUCCGUCGUGAAGAGGGAAACAACCCAGACCGCCAGCUAAGGUCCCAAAGUCAUGGUUAAGUGGGAAACGAUGUGGGAAGGCCCAGACAGCCAGGAUGUUGGCUUAGAAGCAGCCAUCAUUUAAAGAAAGCGUAAUAGCUCACUGGUCGAGUCGGCCUGCGCGGAAGAUGUAACGGGGCUAAACCAUGCACCGAAGCUGCGGCAGCGACGCUUAUGCGUUGUUGGGUAGGGGAGCGUUCUGUAAGCCUGCGAAGGUGUGCUGUGAGGCAUGCUGGAGGUAUCAGAAGUGCGAAUGCUGACAUAAGUAACGAUAAAGCGGGUGAAAAGCCCGCUCGCCGGAAGACCAAGGGUUCCUGUCCAACGUUAAUCGGGGCAGGGUGAGUCGACCCCUAAGGCGAGGCCGAAAGGCGUAGUCGAUGGGAAACAGGUUAAUAUUCCUGUACUUGGUGUUACUGCGAAGGGGGGACGGAGAAGGCUAUGUUGGCCGGGCGACGGUUGUCCCGGUUUAAGCGUGUAGGCUGGUUUUCCAGGCAAAUCCGGAAAAUCAAGGCUGAGGCGUGAUGACGAGGCACUACGGUGCUGAAGCAACAAAUGCCCUGCUUCCAGGAAAAGCCUCUAAGCAUCAGGUAACAUCAAAUCGUACCCCAAACCGACACAGGUGGUCAGGUAGAGAAUACCAAGGCGCUUGAGAGAACUCGGGUGAAGGAACUAGGCAAAAUGGUGCCGUAACUUCGGGAGAAGGCACGCUGAUAUGUAGGUGAAGCGACUUGCUCGUGGAGCUGAAAUCAGUCGAAGAUACCAGCUGGCUGCAACUGUUUAUUAAAAACACAGCACUGUGCAAACACGAAAGUGGACGUAUACGGUGUGACGCCUGCCCGGUGCCGGAAGGUUAAUUGAUGGGGUCAGCGCAAGCGAAGCUCUUGAUCGAAGCCCCGGUAAACGGCGGCCGUAACUAUAACGGUCCUAAGGUAGCGAAAUUCCUUGUCGGGUAAGUUCCGACCUGCACGAAUGGCGUAAUGAUGGCCAGGCUGUCUCCACCCGAGACUCAGUGAAAUUGAACUCGCUGUGAAGAUGCAGUGUACCCGCGGCAAGACGGAAAGACCCCGUGAACCUUUACUAUAGCUUGACACUGAACAUUGAGCCUUGAUGUGUAGGAUAGGUGGGAGGCUUUGAAGUGUGGACGCCAGUCUGCAUGGAGCCGACCUUGAAAUACCACCCUUUAAUGUUUGAUGUUCUAACGUUGACCCGUGAUCCGGGUUGCGGACAGUGUCUGGUGGGUAGUUUGACUGGGGCGGUCUCCUCCUAAAGAGUAACGGAGGAGCACGAAGGUUGGCUAAUCCUGGUCGGACAUCAGGAGGUUAGUGCAAUGGCAUAAGCCAGCUUGACUGCGAGCGUGACGGCGCGAGCAGGUGCGAAAGCAGGUCAUAGUGAUCCGGUGGUUCUGAAUGGAAGGGCCAUCGCUCAACGGAUAAAAGGUACUCCGGGGAUAACAGGCUGAUACCGCCCAAGAGUUCAUAUCGACGGCGGUGUUUGGCACCUCGAUGUCGGCUCAUCACAUCCUGGGGCUGAAGUAGGUCCCAAGGGUAUGGCUGUUCGCCAUUUAAAGUGGUACGCGAGCUGGGUUUAGAACGUCGUGAGACAGUUCGGUCCCUAUCUGCCGUGGGCGCUGGAGAACUGAGGGGGGCUGCUCCUAGUACGAGAGGACCGGAGUGGACGCAUCACUGGUGUUCGGGUUGUCAUGCCAAUGGCACUGCCCGGUAGCUAAAUGCGGAAGAGAUAAGUGCUGAAAGCAUCUAAGCACGAAACUUGCCCCGAGAUGAGUUCUCCCUGACUCCUUGAGAGUCCUGAAGGAACGUUGAAGACGACGACGUUGAUAGGCCGGGUGUGUAAGCGCAGCGAUGCGUUGAGCUAACCGGUACUAAUGAACCGUGAGGCUUAACCUU
rnacentral:rRNA from 1 species